rnacentral:rRNA from 1 species
GGGUGGAUUAGUGGCGACGGGUGAGUAACACGUGGGCAAUCUGCCCUUCACUCUGGGACAAGCCCUGGAAACGGGGUCUAAUACCGGAUAAUACUUUCCCUCUCAUGGGGGAAGGUUAAAAGCUCCGGCGGUGAAGGAUGAGCCCGCGGCCUAUCAGCUAGUUGGUGGGGUAAUGGCCUACCAAGGCGACGACGGGUAGCCGGCCUGAGAGGGCGACCGGCCACACUGGGACUGAGACACGGCCCAGACUCCUACGGGAGGCAGCAGUGGGGAAUAUUGCACAAUGGGCGAAAGCCUGAUGCAGCGACGCCGCGUGAGGGAUGACGGCCUUCGGGUUGUAAACCUCUUUCAGCAGGGAAGAAGCGAAAGUGACGGUACCUGCAGAAGAAGCGCCGGCUAACUACGUGCCAGCAGCCGCGGUAAUACGUAGGGCGCAAGCGUUGUCCGGAAUUAUUGGGCGUAAAGAGCUCGUAGGCGGCUUGUUGCGUCGGUUGUGAAAGCCCGGGGCUUAACCCCGGGUCUGCAGUCGAUACGGGCAGGCUAGAGUGUGGUAGGGGAGAUCGGAAUUCCUGGUGUAGCGGUGAAAUGCGCAGAUAUCAGGAGGAACACCGGUGGCGAAGGCGGAUCUCUGGGCCAUUACUGACGCUGAGGAGCGAAAGCGUGGGGAGCGAACAGGAUUAGAUACCCUGGUAGUCCACGCCGUAAACGUUGGGAACUAGGUGUUGGCGACAUUCCACGUCGUCGGUGCCGCAGCUAACGCAUUAAGUUUCCCCGCCUGGGGGAGUACGGACG